rnacentral:tRNA from 1 species
GGGCAGGUGGCGAAAUUGGUAGACGCACUGCGCUUAGGACGCAACGGGGUAACCCAUGGAGGUUCGAGUCCUCUCCUGCCCA